CCUACGGGGGGCUGCAGUGAGGAAUAUUGGUCAAUGGACGAGAGUCUGAACCAGCCAAGUAGCGUGAAGGAUGACUGCCCUAUGGGUUGUAAACUUCUUUUAUAUGGGAAUAAAAUGUUCCACGUGUGGGAUUUUGUAUGUACCAUAUGAAUAAGGAUCGCCUAACUCCGUGCCAGCAGCCGCGGUAAUACGGAGGAUCCGAGCGUUAUCCGGAUUUAUUGGGUUUAAAGGGAGCGUAGGUGGAUUGUUAAGUCAGUUGUGAAAGUUUGCGGCUCAACCGUAAAAUUGCAGUUGAAACUGGCAGUCUUGAGUACAGUAGAGGUGGGCGGAAUUCGUGGUGUAGCGGUGAAAUGCUUAGAUAUCACGAAGAACUCCGAUUGCGAAGGCAGUUCACUGGACUGCAACUGACACUGAGGCUCGAAAGUGUGGGUAUCAAACAGGAUUAGAUACCCUUGUAGUC
rnacentral:rRNA from 1 species